rnacentral:rRNA from 1 species
GACGAACGCUGGCGGCGCGCUUAACACAUGCAAGUCGAGCGAGAACCAGGGCUUCGGCCCUGGGGACAGCGGCGAACGGGUGAGUAACACGUGGGUAAUCCACCCUCGGCACCGGAAUAGCCCGGGGAAACCCGGAUUAAUGCCGGAUGGCCCGCCGGCCCUGCGGGGCUGGCGGAAAAGGUAGCUUCGGCCUCCGGCCGAGGACGAGCCCGCGACGGAUUAGCUUGUUGGUGGGGUAACGGCCUACCAAGGCUGCGAUCCGUAGCUGGUCUGAGGGGACGAUAAGCCACACUGGGACUGAGACACGGCCCAGACUCCUACGGGAGGCAGCAGUGGGGAAUCUUGCGCAAUGGGCGAAAGCCUGAUGCAGCAACGCCGCGUGAGGGAAGAAGGCCUUCGGGUUGUAAACCUCUUUCAGGAGGGACGAAGCCACUCGGGUUAAUAGCCCAGAGGGUGACGGUACCUCCAGAAGAAGCCCCGGCUAACUACGUGCCAGCCGCCGCGGUAACAC